CUGAAUGUCAGUGAACUUUGAUAAGUAGGGUACUACUCUCUUCAAUAUGCCCUUCUUUUUCUCCCUUCUUAAAUAGGGCUUCAAAUUUCAAGAACUACAUAGCUUCCUCUUCCUCGCCCUUCUCUCCUCGAAAUUUCAGUACGUACUUUUUAUUUUUCCCUUGGAAAGAGCAAGAGUGCUUAGAAAAUGGGUUCAAAAAAUGUUAAGGUUUUCAUUUGGCUGGCUCUGGUUGUUGCCCUCCUUCUAAUGUCUUAUCAGGUUUUCACUGUUAAGGGCUUGACCGAGAAGAAACAGGUGGAGGCAACCGAAAAAAAUGGAGUGGAAAACCUUACAUAUGAGGCAUCUCUAGCAGUAGCAGGAGGCGCCCAAUGUGGUUCACGUGGUUGUUGUAGAUUCAGGUCGGUCAGCACUUGCUUAAGAUGUUGCUCAAACUAAAACCUCAAAUUGUUUGUUGAAAUACUACUGCUACUACUGGUUCCACUCGAAAAUAAUCUUAAGCCUAAGAAUUGGCUAAUGAAUAUUAUUGUGAUUUGUACGUAAUGAUUAUUGGAAAAAAUCAGCGGCCCAUGAUUAUCAUCAUCUAAAGUAUUUAUGUAUUAAGUUUAUUAUUUUACCCUUGCAUCUGUAUGUGUUAAUUUAAAUUCCUUUGCAAAAUAAUAAUGGAAGUGCAAUAACAGUAUAUUAAGUAACACGUUUGAAUUA